rnacentral:rRNA from 1 species
AGAGCUAUAAUCAAAUAAACUAUAUUCAUUAUUUUACUUUUAAAUCCACCUUAAAAUCAUCAUUUCAGACAAUUUAAUGUAUAAAUAAAUUUAUUGUAACCCAUCUCUACUAAAAUAUAAACUGCACCUUGACCUGACAUCAAUUAUAUUUUUAAGUUAAGAAAAUUAUUCCUCUUUUAAGAUAUUCUGAUAACGGCGAUAUACAAAUUGAAAACAAACCUUAGUAAGGUCCAACGGGGAUUAUCGAUUACAGGACAGGUUCCUCUAAAUAGACUAAAACACCGCCAAAUUCUUUAAGUUUGAAGAUUAUAACUAUUACUACUCAAGUAUUUAAAAUUACAAUUUAAAUAAUAGGGUAUCUAAUCCUAGUUUAUUAUUAAAAUUUCCUAGCUUCAUCAAAUAAAAUAUAAAAUUAAAUAAAUUUAAAAUUUCACCUAAAAAAUUUAAUUUAAUUUUACUGUAUCUAUAACAAAUUAACUAAUACUAAUCAAUCUUAUUUGCAUUAUUUG